rnacentral:misc_RNA from 1 species
GUGAGUCAUCGAAUCUUUGAACGCAAAUUGCACUUUCUGGUAUUCCGGAGAGUAUGCCUGUUUGAGGGUCAGUGUAAUAAAUAAAUCGUGGUCGUUUGCCACCUUUUCGUGGUGACGCUUCGGAAUUGAGUCGUCUUUACCCUUCGGGUUAAGUGACUUAAAAUUUUUUCAUACGAUUUCGAAACGUAUUUAAUGUAUUAUGUACGUUCACGAAUAUCGAAUGCUUUAUUAGGUGCGGUCAUUUUCAUGAAUUCGCGUCUAUAAUUUUUUUUUUUGACCUCAAAUCAGGUAAGAAUACCC